GGAGAGAUGGCUCAGUGGUGAAGAGCUCUGGUUGCUCUUCCAGAGGACCUGGGUUCAAUUCCCAGCACCC
rnacentral:tRNA from 1 species